GGGCAGUCAAGGCACAAUUUUGUGAUUUUACCAGCAGUAGUCCUUGUAGCAGGAGUGGCAUUUUUUUUGCUGUUUAGAAAAGGUUGUCUGAAAUGUGGCAGAAACACAGAGAGAACCGACCCCAGUUGACCGGUACUACAAGAUGAAAUCAAAUGUAUAGCGACUAAGUUAUUUAAAUAAUGGAACAAAAAGCCAUCUGAUUUGCCAUUCAAGUUUAUGUCAUCUUCGAGGACAUUUUGGAAUUCUAAUCUGAAGUGGCCCUCCACCAGAAGGUUCUUUUCUGGAAGAAAUAUCAACUAACAACCAGCACCAGUAUCUACCCUAUCCCUGCUGUGAUCUAUGACUAGAUACUGUAGAUGACUUUUGCCUCUCAAUUUUUUACUAUAAAUUUUCUAUCAGAGAGAUAUAAAUUUGUAAAUAUGUAAAUAUAUACAUAAGUGGUA